ACCUAGGCGACGAUCCGUAGCGGGUCUGAGAGGAUGAUCCGCCACACUGGGACUGAGACACGGCCCAGACUCCUACGGGAGGCAGCAGUGGGGAAUUUUGGACAAUGGGCGCAAGCCUGAUCCAGCCAUGCCGCGUGAGUGAAGAAGGCCUUCGGGUUGUAAAGCUCUUUCGGCCGGGAAGAAAUCGUGGUCUCUAACAUAGGCCAUGGAUGACGGUACCGGACUAAGAAGCACCGGCUAACUACGUGCCAGCAGCCGCGGUAAUACGUAGGGUGCGAGCGUUAAUCGGAAUUACUGGGCGUAAAGCGUGCGCAGGCGGUUUUGUAAGACAGAUGUGAAAUCCCCCGGGCUUAACCUGGGAACUGCGUUUGUGACUGCAAGGCUAGAGUACGGCAGAGGGGGGUGGAAUUCCUGGUGUAGCAGUGAAAUGCGUAGAGAUCAGGAGGAACACCGAUGGCGAAGGCAGCCCCCUGGGCCUGUACUGACGCUCAUGCACGAAAGCGUGGGGAG
rnacentral:rRNA from 1 species